UACGUAGGGUACAAGCGUUGUCCGGAAUUAUUGGGCGUAAAGAGCUCGUAGGUGGUUCGGUUAGUCGGAUGUGAAAUCUCCAGGCUCAACCUGGGAGGGGUCAUUCGAUACUGCCGUGACUAGAGUUCGGUAGAGGAGUGUGGAAGUUCCUGGUGUAGCGGUGAAAUGCGCAGAUAUCAGGAAGAACACCAAUGGCGAAAGCAGCUCUCUGGGACGGUACUGACGCUGAGACGCGAAAGCGUGGGGAGCGAACAGG
rnacentral:rRNA from 1 species